rnacentral:rRNA from 1 species
UACGUAGGGACCAAGCGUUGUUCGGAUUUACUGGGCGUAAAGAGCGCGUAGGCGGCCGAGUAAGUCCGACGUGAAAUCUGGGAGGCUCAACCCUCCCAGCGGUGUUGGAAACUACUCGGCUAGAGUCCGGAAGAGGGAGACUGGAAUUCCUGGUGUAGCGGUGGAAAUGCGCAGAUAUCAGGAGGAACACCGGUGGCGAAGGCGGUCUCUGGCAACAACUGACGCUGAGGAGCGAAGCGUGGAGCGACAGG